UACUCGAAAUUUUGUCUGAUAGUUCAUCUGCAUCGAUUAGUGAAAACAACAGAACCCAAAGCUGUCCCGGCCACGCCUAGCAGGGUCAUGCUUUAGUGUCAUAAAAGUCAUGAAAGAAGCAAAUUUAUAGGAAUAAAGCCAUUUUUCACACAUAAAAUCAAAAGCUCACAUCAAUCACGUCAAGAAUCCAAUUCUUCCACCACCAUUAUAUGAAUAGGCAGAAUAGCUUCGAUUCACUUUGCCAAACCUGCAACUGUUGCCUGCUUUGAACUUUCUUCUACUCAACAUGGCUACUGUGGUGGAAUUGAGAGUGGGUUUGCACUGUGAUGACUGCAUCAAGAAGAUAGAAGAUAUUGAGAGUUAUGAUGUGGAUACUCAGCUAAACAAGGUCAUAGUGAGAGGAAAUGUCACAACAGAACAAGUCAUCAGAGUUCUACAAAAGAUUGGCAAGUCUGCAACCUCUUGGGAGGGAGACCAACUCCAUUGUUGAGUUCGUGCAUUUUGUAGGCUGUAUAAUUUCUUCUUUCAUCCCUAUGAUGCCAUGAAAAUUACAUUGUCUCUUC